rnacentral:rRNA from 1 species
GAACGCUGGCGGCAGGCCUAACACAUGCAAGUCGAACGGUAACAGGAAGCAGCUUGCUGCUUCGCUGACGAGUGGCGGACGGGUGAGUAAUGUCUGGGAAGCUGCCUGAUGGAGGGGGAUAACUACUGGAAACGGUAGCUAAUACCGCAUAAUGUCGCAAGACCAAAGAGGGGGACCUUCGGGCCUCUUGCCAUCGGAUGUGCCCAGAUGGGAUUAGCUUGUUGGUGGGGUAACGGCUCACCAAGGCGACGAUCCCUAGCUGGUCUGAGAGGAUGACCAGCCACACUGGAACUGAGACACGGUCCAGACUCCUACGGGAGGCAGCAGUGGGGAAUAUUGCACAAUGGGCGCAAGCCUGAUGCAGCCAUGCCGCGUGUAUGAAGAAGGCCUUCGGGUUGUAAAGUACUUUCAGCGGGGAGGAAGGGAGUAAAGUUAAUACCUUUGCUCAUUGACGUUACCCGCAGAAGAAGCACCGGCUAACUCCGUGCCAGCAGCCGCGGUAAUACGGAGGGUGCAAGCGUUAAUCGGAAUUACUGGGCGUAAAGCGCACGCAGGCGGUUUGUUAAGUCAGAUGUGAAAUCCCCGGGCUCAACCUGAGAACUGCAUCUGAUACUGGCAAGCUUGAGUCUCGUAGAGGGGGGUAGAAUUCCAGGUGUAGCGGUGAAAUGCGUAGAGAUCUGGAGGAAUACCGGUGGCGAAGGCGGCCCCCUGGACGAAGACUG